rfam:Gossypium hirsutum cultivar TM-1 unplaced genomic scaffold scaffold2334.1, whole genome shotgun sequence
AAUUAAAAAUUUUAUCUAUUUGUACAAUUAAAAACUGACAUGGCUGAUGAAAUAAUCAGAUAAUGAUACGUGGUGUGCUUCAUAUACAUCAUGUUAGCGUACAUGAAUCAGUUUUUAAUAGUAAAAAUUGAUGAAUUUUUUACAG